rnacentral:lncRNA from 1 species
GAGAUGGGGCCCCGUAUAAUAAACGUGACGGGGGGCGGGGAUAGUGGUCCCCGCCCCGUGGAGACCCAUUUAAUUCCCGCCUAUGUAAAAUGACUAAAAUGCCCAUAUAUAUAUAUAUAACAUAAUGGAAGAAAGUGAAACCCUAGCCGUUUUCAUUUUUCAAUUCAGUGAAUUCACAAACCCAUAAACCCUUAACCCCUCUUCCAACCCCAUCCUCUGAAGUCUGAACCACCCACCGAGCCACCUCCCAGCCUCCCACCCGCUCAGUCCGUCACCCAUCCCCUCAGUCCGUCUUCCUCACCGCGACAUCUCAAUCUCUCACGAGUCACACACAGACACAUUGUGGAUCUCAUUCCCCUCACCGCCAGUCCAUCACGUUACGCACACCGGCACACCGCACCAGGGAGACCGUCGACUCUGAAGUCGUUGCUUCUUCCCGCGGAGGCGUGUUCGUCGGCGUGGUUCUGGUUCUGGUCGUGUUUUGGACGCCUCUUCGCGUUGGUCGCCGGCCGUUGUUCGUUCGCGUUCUGGUUCUUCUCCGCGUUGCUGGUAUUUCCAGGUACUGUACCUUCUCCGCAUUGCUGGUUUAUUGAUCAAUUUCACUUACAUACUGUUGCUCCCUGCAACUUGUUACUUCUGUUUUCAACUUUUUAAAGUGUAGAUAUUUUUAGAUUCAAAGCUAUUGGGUCUGAUUUGAAUGACAGAUUUGGAUUAUUUCAAUUCACUCCACAUUUAAGUAAACUUUAUAUUUUUUAUGUUGAGUUAUUGAGUCUGGUUUUUAUGAUUCUAGAAUCUUUAUAAUUUUACUUUGAUUUUAAUUUCUGAUGUUAAAUUGUUGAUUCAGAUUCCUAUGAUUAAUUCUGUGAGUUAGGUUAAGUAUAAUGAAUAUUUUUAAAGUUGAGUUAUUGAGUCUGGUUUCUAUGAUUUUGGAAUGUUUAUUUCACUUUGAUUUUGAUUUUUUGAUAUUAAAUUGUUGAUUUUGAUUCCUAUGAUUCAUAAAUUUUUAUUACUUACUUUGAUGUUGAAAGAUUUGUUAUGAUUUAUAUUUUUGAUGCUGAUUCUCAACUUUAUGUGUUUAUGUAAUUUUAGAAAAUGGAUAUGCUUAAGUGAUUAUGAUUCCUAUGAUUCCUAUGAUUCAUAAAUUUUUAUUUCUUUUCGAUGUAGGAUUCAAGUAGGUCGGAAUCUACCAUCACUACCAUUACGGGAUGAAAGAAAGAUUGAGAUAGUGGAAUUAUAUUUUUACGACGUGAUGAACUUUGUUUAUGGAUAUGGUUG